CCGAGUGAGGGCCCUUUGGGUCCAACCUCCCACCCGUGUUUAUUUACCUCGUUGCUUCGGCGGGCCCGCCUUAACUGGCCGCCGGGGGGCUCACGCCCCCGGGCCCGCGCCCGCCGAAGACACCCCCGAACUCUGCCUGAAGAUUGUCGUCUGAGUGAAAAUAUAAAUUAUUUAAAACUUUCAACAACGGAUCUCUUGGUUCCGGCAUCGAUGAAGAACGCAGCGAAAUGCGAUACGUAAUGUGAAUUGCAAAUUCAGUGAAUCAUCGAGUCUUUGAACGCACAUUGCGCCCCCUGGUAUUCCGGGGGGCAUGCCUGUCCGAGCGUCAUUGCUGCCCUCAAGCCCGGCUUGUGUGUUGGGCCCCGUCCUCCGAUUCCGGGGGACGGGCCCGAAAGGCAGCGGCGGCACCGCGUCCGGUCCUCGAGCGUAUGGGGCUUUGUCACCCGCUCUGUAGGCCCGGCCGGCGCUUGCCGAUCAACCCAAAUUUUUAUCCAGGUUGACCUCGGAUCAGGUAGGGAUACCCGCUGAA
rnacentral:rRNA from 1 species